UCCUUGGGAUUUGCUCAGAUAACAUCUCUCCUUUCAUUUCAGCAAACACGCUCUUUCGGCUUAUAUUAGGUUGUUUUCAGCAGGUGCUUUUGGGCACACAAAGCAACACAAGCUUUGAAGAUUCUAUGCAGAAAACAGCAUGGAGUAGAGGGAAUAUUUAAGUUCAGGAUUUGGGGUUGUGAGUUCAGAGGCAACUAGGAGACAGCAGCCCAGUCAUAGCAGGAACCUCUCAGACAGCCCGGCGGCCUUCCUUCGCACUUGACGUGGAUUCUCAUUCCCGGACAUCCAAAAGAUAAAUGCAGAUGGAUAAAAUCCAUAGCAGAGCACCCCAUCCCAGGAAAUAAAGCCUUCUAGCAGUAGUCAAGGCGAGGUGGUCAAGGCAAUCCAUGUGGAGUACACAUAACUCCCCGUCAGACACUGGCCGACGGACCGGGAUUGUUGUUUUUUGGAGCCCUGUGGAAGUAUUACAGGACUCGGCGAUGAAGCCUCUGCCUUUUCGAUUUAAAGGAGUCACCCGGAGAGACUUUGGCAACGCCGAGGAGUCACGGCGAGUCGGGAA